GCAUUUCCUGAUUGUCAUCGUAAUAAUAAUCAACUAAUCAAGAACAGAAUUCAUGGUACAUUGACUCAAUACAUCUGAGUUGUACCAAAGCCAACGCAACCUCCAUCCAAAGCAUAGCAUACUAUUCGUGCAAUAUCCCGAGAAUUACAUAGUUUUGAGCGCAAUGCGGGAACCCCAAGAGAGGAUGCUACCAUUAUACACGCUCGAUUCUCUCCAUGGAAGGUAACUGCACUCGUCUUUGAAAACAUGACACAAAGUUUCAACACAAUUGGUGGACGAGGGGAGGUGGAGUUGGUAUAUGGUGGAUUCAGAUUGAGGGGAGGGAAACUAAUCUGGGGACACUCGGGUGACCCAGCUGGAGAUGUAUUGUCAGACCUCAUCGUUAUAUCUCCAGUGUCGAAGCCCUGAUCUUCGGCGAAUUGAUGCGAAUUUUGGAACUUGUUGAGGGAGAGAUAUUCCCUGGGAUUUUGGCCGGUGGUGAAGAGAUUCAUCUUGAGAACCGGUCCAGCGGAAACGAGAAGGGGUCAAAGAUCCUGGGAUGAGGUGGCAACGAAAAAUCUCAGGGCAGAGGGAGAUCAAGAGGAUUGAAUUCGCAUUCAGGAAUUCAAUUAUUUGAAUUAACGACUGUUGAGGCACAAACACCGAGACGGGUGAAUAAGGAGGGUCCGGAUAAUAACGCGGGAGGAACCGGAAGGCAUAAACCUCGGUGCAACACUACCACUGGGCUCCAGACACUCCUCAGACUAAACAAUUUCCACCUGAAUAAAUGAAAAAAUCAUGUCAUUCAUUUUUCAUUCCAAAACUUUCAUUUUUUGUAGACUGAGAGAGAGAAUUUAACGUUUUGAUAAAAUAUUUAUUUCAUGGGAGAACAUUUGGCUGAGGAGAACAGAUUUAUUUGAAGAAAUUCAACUUGGGAAAGGGUACUUAGAGGUCUCUGAAGCUUUUAUUCCGCCGGAAGUCCAAGAGGGGAGAGAGGGUCUCCAGAACAAUAAUUAAAAAUAUUUAACUAAGAAAAACGUGUUAUUUUUAGAUAGAUUUAUUUUUUCGGAGACUCCUUUUUAUUGAAAGGGUAGUAGAACCCUUUGGGGCCUUAGCGGGCCCUCAUUGGUCGGUAGGAAGCCGGGCACCUUACAUGUUCGACACGCCCCGUCUUUGUAAUCGCGACCCUCACCCCUUCUCCCGACCAAGGGCCUGCCCCUUCUCCCAGGGCUGACCAAAACUGAAAAAUUUAUAUUUCUCGAUCUCGACAUGAGAAGGUCCCUGACAUUAGUAAAAAAUUUUUAACGAGAUAUCGCUCCGGAAUUACGGAACUGACAUUUAAUUUUUAUUGAAUGUUUCUCUCGUUUAAACGAUCUUAUACCCAGUCUCUUCUGCCCUUGAAAAUUCUUAAUUUCCCUCAUAAAUAUUCUAUUUCUCCCCGCAAGUUGAGGAUUGCUUUAGCAGUUAAACUAGCCGGCUUCGUCAUAUGGCAAAAAUUAAAUAAAAAUGAGGAAACAGAGUCAAUUAGCAUUCUCACUGAGGUUGAGGGGGCGAGGAGUGGAGAAAGAGAUUCAGGCGUAAACCGCGCGAUAAAACUCGGAGAGA